rnacentral:piRNA from 1 species
UCUGGUGUCCGGAGUGGUUGAUGUGGUGU